CAGUCGAGAAUCUUCGUCAAUGGGCGAAAGCCUGAACGAGCGACGCCGCGUGUGGGAUGACGGCCUUUGGGUUGUAAACCACUGUCGAGGGGGAUGAAGGCCUGGUAGUCAUCUGCCAGGUUUGACAGAGCCCUGGAGGAAGCACGGGCUAAGUUCGUGCCAGCAGCCGCGGUAAUACGAACUGUGCGAACGUUAUUCGGAAUCACUGGGCUUACAGGGUGCGUAGGCGGCCCAACAAGUCAGGUGUGAAAGCCCUCGGCUCAACCGAGGAACUGCGCUUGAAACUGUUAGGCUCGAGUCAGCUAGAGGUGCACGGAACUUCCAGUGGAGCGGUGAAAUGUGUUGAUAUUGGAAGGAACACCGGAGGCGAAAGCGGUGCACUGGGGCUGGUCUGACGCUGAGGCACGAAAGCCAGGGGAGCGAACGGGAUUAGA
rnacentral:rRNA from 1 species